rnacentral:misc_RNA from 1 species
GAUGAAGAACGCAGCGAAAUGCGAUAAGUAGUGUGAAUUGCAGAAUUCAGUGAAUCAUCGAAUCUUUGAACGCACAUUGCGCCCGCCAGUAUUCUGGCGGGCAUGCCUGUUCGAGCGUCAUUUCAACCCUCAAGCCCCCGGGCUUGGUGUUGGGGAUCGGCGUGCCCUCGCGGCGCGCCGUCCCCUAAAUCUAGUGGCGGUCUCGCUGUAGCUUCCUCUGCGUAGUAGCAACACUCGCACUGGAUCGCAGCGCGGCCACGCCGUUAAACCCCCCACUUCUGAAAGUUUGACCUCGGAUCAGGUAGGAAUACCCGCUGAACUUAAGCAUAUCAAUAAGGGAGGA